AGGGCGCUAUACAUCUAUAUACAGUAAAUGCCGUAAUCUGCAAAAACCCAUCCUACCCUUCAACUUUCCCCCUGCAUGACCUCACACCUCAAAUCCGCCGCAAGCGACAAGACAAAAACACAGCGCUGCCAUUAUAAUCAACGAGAACGUUUCCAGCGCUGUGCGCUUGCAGAGUAGAUGUGUUGUGAGGAAACACGCUGCUCUGUCCGCUGCCUGACGUCACCCUGGCGCGCGCUUCCAUAGAUGCGAGCGCGAGAGUACAGUGACAGCGCCUCGUCCACUGUACGCAACAUUGAGCGCGGCUCAGCACUAUCUCAGGCUACACGCGAGAAACGGCAGCAGAUCAUGGGAUGUGACUAGGCAACAUCUCGCUUUAUUUGAGGCCGGUCGUCCGCUCUGCACUCACGGGGUGCAGUACUUUAAACUCACCGUUCCCAUUAUUUGAAUCAAGUGAUCACUGCCCUCCUGUCAUCCCGGAAUAACGUUGGAAGCUUUAACAUUUGUAUUAAUUAUUCUUCGAGUUUCUAUCCCACUCUACCGGUUCGACUCUGACUUCAAGCUGAGGCUCAAUAACUGGAUUUUAUCGGUGGAACAAAAGGCGACUGCUGCUGCCUGGAUAUUAAAUUUUACUCUUGGAUUAUUGUCUCAGCAUCAUGAGCACGAGUGUACCCUAUCAGCAAAGCUCAUGCAGCAGUGAACGAAGCUCCGGACCAAUACACUGCUUUCGCUGCCGGGAGGUGUGCAAAGGAGAGGUGGUACGAGUGCAGCAUGUGCACUUCCACAUCAAAUGCUUCACCUGCCAAGUGUGUGGCUGUGAUUUGGCACAUUCCGGAUUCUUCCAGAAGAGUGGUGAGUACAUCUGCACAGCAGACUACCAGCGCCUGUACGGAACAAAGUGUGACAGCUGUGAGGACUUUAUCUCAGGGGAGGUGGUCUCUGCUCUGGGCCGCACAUAUCAUCCACAGUGUUUCGUUUGCAGCGUGUGCAGGAAACCUUUUCCAAUUGGGGACAGAGUGACGUUCAGUGGUAAAGAAUGUGUCUGUCAGCACUGUUCCCUCAAACUGGUUAAUUCCAAUGAGCCAAUCAAAAUCCAUGGGCCCAGCCAGUGUGCAGGUUGUAAGGAGGAGAUCAAACAGGGUCAAUCUCUGCUGGCGUUAGAGAAACAGUGGCACGUCAGCUGCUUCAGGUGUCAGACCUGCGGCCUGGUCCUGACGGCCGAGUACAUCAGCAAAGACGGCGUUCCUUACUGUGAGUCAGACUACCAUGCCCAGUUUGGGAUAAAGUGUGAAACAUGCGACAGAUACAUCAGUGGACGUGUGCUGGAGGUGAAAGUUUUAUGUGCUGUAUCUAACAUUCUCGUCUUUGUUUGGCUGUGUUUCGCAGGUUCAGAGGUGUGGCAUCCUGUGUGUAAACAAGCAUCUCGAGCAGAGAGGAAACUCAGACUCAGGCGCACAUCAGAAACCUCCAUCUCUCCGCCAGGCUCUAGCAUUAGUUCACCCAGCAGAGUCAUCUGUGCAAAAAUGGAGAACGAGAUCCUUUAUUACAAAGACUUGGCGGCGCUACCUAAGGUUAAAGCCAUUUAUGAAGUGCAGAGGCCAGACUUCUGGUCCUAUGAGCCAAGUCACAGAUACUGCUCCGAUGACAGGCUCAGCUAUGGGGAGUCUUUGGGCACACUCUCCCCUUAUUCUCAGGACAUGUAUGACAGUAUGGACAUGAGGAUUAGAAGAUCCUCCAGUCCGGGUUACAUAGACUCCCCCACCUACAGCAGACAGGGCAUGUCUCCCAUCAUGCCCCGCUCUCCACAGCACUACUACAGAUACGGCACUGAGAGUGGCAGAAGUUCACCCUAUUACAAUCAGCUAGAUGCCCGGUCCAGCACGCCCACCACAAACCCAGCUCCCAAGCAUUUCCAUGUGCCAGCCACAGGGGAGCCCAACAUCUACAGGAAGCCUCCCAUCUAUAAGAGACAUGGUAUAGUGUACUCGGCCUCAACCAAGAGCAAGACCAGUGAAGACAUUGUCCAAUCUUCCAAAUUCCCAUCAGCCUACUCGCCUGAACACUACCAGCACUCAGAGUCUGAUUACUACCAUUACACCAGCUCUCCUAAAUGUAAAAGGUACUCAUCAGGUGGAGAAGAAGAUGGCUGGAGUCACGGCCUUCAAAGAAUUCAGGGUGGUAUCGGUAGGAUGAUCCUGAAGGAGGAGAUGAAAGCCCGCUCCGGUUCCUAUGACAACGACCCCUGGGGCAGCGCACGGAACUCCCGCAGUGGGAGCAGGGAGAUGUUGCACAGCAUGGGCCACAACAACACAGUUAACGGCUACUACAUAUCCAAGUCAGCCUCUUUGCCCGGAUAUGGCAGGAAUGGAUUGCACAGGCCACAAAGUGCAGACUACUAUCAGUAUGACAGUGGCAGUGAAGUCAACUGGGGAAUCAGAGGUAACAAUGUCCUGCUGGUCAAAGCAUGUGGAAACCAGAGGAUGGAGAAAUUAGUGCCUUUAGGUCAUAAGGUCACUGUGUCAUUCCCCAGCUGGCCCUUAGUGAGUUGGAGACUGCAGGGGCCGUGGAAAGGGCAGGAGUUUGUCUGA
ensembl:lncRNA